rnacentral:rRNA from 1 species
GACAGAGGGGGCAAGCGUUGCUCGGAAUUACUGGGCGUAAAGGGCGCGUAGGCGGCCUGGCAAGUGACGGGUGAAAGCCCUCGGCUUAACCGAGGAACUGCCUGUCAGACUGUUAGGCUUGAGACCGGGAGAGGUGAGUGGAAUUCCCAGUGUAGCGGUGAAAUGCGUAGAUAUUGGGAGGAACACCAGUGGCGAAGGCGGCUCACUGGACCGGUACUGACGCUGAGGCGCGAAAGCGUGGGGAGCAAACAGG